rnacentral:rRNA from 1 species
UACGGAGGAGGCAAGCGUUAUCCGGAAUUAUUGGGCGUAAAGCGUCCGUAGGUGGUAAUUCAAGUCUGCUGUUAAAGCGUGAGGCUUAACCUCAUAAAGGCAGUGGAAACUGAAUUGCUAGAGAACAGAAGGGGCAACGGGAAUUCCUAGUGUAGCGGUGAAAUGCGUAGAGAUUAGGAAGAACACCAAUGGCGAAAGCACGUUGCUAGGCUGAUUCUGACACUGAGGGACGAAAGCUAGGGGAGCGAAAGGG